UUCACUCUCAUUAACUCAGGUGAAACUUUUCAUUCCUGCAACAUAAAACCCAGCGCUGCAAAAGUAAAACCCAUUUCUCACGCACCCUUCAAGUUUCUCAUCAAACGGUUGUUCUGUUCAUCUUCAAACCGUUACACAAAACCACAUUUAAUCUCCUACGAUGAAACCUAUUCUUCAUUCUGCAGCUCUAUUUAAAAUCACAAAAACCAAAAAAUAACUGACUGUGCAUCCAAAAUCCACCAGAAUUUUGGAUCGGAAAGUAUAGAACUCCACAACUCAGGAACAAGCGUACACAAUAUUACAUCUAUUAUUGCUACAAUGCUUGCUAUUUGAUACAGCCUAUUGACAAAAGGAUGCAUUAUUCAUCAGAGUAUGUUUUUACUCAAGAAAGGAUAAGUUGUUUUAUGUCCCUUGAAUUUCUUAUAUCUGCAAAGAAUGUUUUUUUUUUUCACUUUUCGGAAUUGUAGGUCAGUCUGUUUGCCUAUAUAUUAAUCAGUUUCACAUUGACGUCAAUUAAUAUUUAAACAGCUAGCAAAAUCAUGUAAGUUUUUGUUUUUAAUAUUC